UACGGAAGGCAGCAGUGGGGAAUAUUGCACAAUGGGCGCAAGCCUGAUGCAGCCAUGCCGCGUGUAUGAAAAAGGCCUUCGGGUUGUAAAGUACUUUCAGUCGUGAGGAAGGUGUUAAGGUUAAUAACCUUAGCAAUUGACGUUAGCGACAGAAGAAGCACCGGCUAACUCCGUGCCAGCAGCCGCGGUAAUACGGAGGGUGCGAGCGUUAAUCGGAAUUACUGGGCGUAAAGGGCACGCAGGCGGUUAAUUAAGUUGGAUGUGAAAUCCCCGGGCUUAACCUGGGAAUGGCAUUCAAGACUGGUUAGCUAGAGUCUUGUAGAGGGGGUAGAAUUCCAUGUGUAGCGGUGAAAUGCGUAGAGAUGUGGAGGAAUACCGGUGGCGAAGGCGGCCCCUGGACAAAGACUGACGCUCAUGUGCGAAAGCGUGGGGAGCAAACAGGGAUUAGAUACU
rnacentral:rRNA from 1 species